GCGGCCGGAGGUUGCCGAAGCGCCGCUCCGCGCCGCGGCCUGCGCCGCCUCGGCCUGUCGUGCCCGCCCCGGCCGGGGCGCCCCCCCCGCGGCCCGGCUGCCGGCGCUGGGCGAGGCCGCGGCUUGGGCCUGGUCGCGAGGAGGGCGAUGGAGGGUUGUGACCCCCCCGUUCAGCACCGCCGGAGCAGCAACACCCCGUCCAUGAGGCCUCAGCGCACAGCGCCCCCGUGAGGUGAUGAGCACGGCGCUGGAGCUGCGUGAGCCCAUUGGGUGCACCCAGCCCCACAUCCCGCCCCAUAGAGCAGGCCCAGCCCCACAUCCACUCCCAUAGAGCACCCCCAGCCCCACACCCCGCCCCAUAGAACACCCCCAGCCCCACAUCCCGCCCCAUAGAACGGACCCAGCCCCACGGGACAGCCCCACAGGACAGCCCCACAGAACAGCCCCAGCACCACAAAACAGCCCCAGCCCCACCUCCCGCCCCAUAGAGCACCCCCAGCCCCACAUCCCGCUCCAUAGAACAGCCCCAGCCCCACAUCCCGCUCCAUAGAGCACCCUCAGCCC
rnacentral:lncRNA from 1 species